CGGGUGAGUAAUGUAUGGGGAUCUGCCUGAUGGCGGGGGAUAACUACUGGAAACGGUAGCUAAUACCGCAUAACGUCGCAAGACCAAAGAGGGGGACCUUCGGGCCUCUUGCCAUCGGAUGUGCCCAGAUGGGAUUAGCUAGUAGGUGGGGUAACGGCUCACCUAGGCGAUGAUCCCUAGCUGGUCUGAGAGGAUGACCAGCCACACUGGAACUGAGACACGGUCCAG
rnacentral:rRNA from 1 species